rnacentral:rRNA from 1 species
UACGUAGGGUGCGAGCGUUAAUCGGAAUUACUGGGCGUAAAGCGUGCGCAGGCGGUUCGUGAUGUCUGGUGUGAAAGCCCCGGGCUUAACCUGGGAAUUGCAUUGGAAACUAGCGGGCUGGAGUGUGGCAGAGGGGGGUGGAAUUCCACGUGUAGCAGUGAAAUGCGUAGAUAUGUGGAGGAACACCGAUGGCGAAGGCAGCCCCCUGGGAUAACACUGACGCUCAUGCACGAAAGCGUGGGGAGCAAACAGG